CGUAAAUUACAUAUCAUGUAUUUAUUUUUUCAUUUUCAAUAUUGGAUGUAUAUGCAAAUCACCCAGAAAAAGAUCAUGUAAUAACAAAAGAAAUUAUAAAAGAAAAAAAUGGAAGAAGAAAUGGCUGGAAAAAAUGAUGAUAGAGCAGCUUUUUCUUGUUACCCACCUCGGAAGAUCAAGUUGGAAAGGGCUAUUGAUAUUGUGGAGACGUUUUCUCACAGAUCUUGCUUAUCAGACAAAGACUAUGCUGGAACACCAUUGAAAGAGUAUUUGCUGUAUGAUAACAACAAGAAAACCCAAGCAUCAAUUUAUUUUAUACUUCUGGGAAAGAAUGCAUUUGACCCAAUUUUUAGAUAUUUAUUUUUUGUUAUUAAUGUUAAAUUUUCUUCCAAAACACAAUUAGAUUUUAAUUCUCUUCAGAAAUGUAUGUAUAAUAUAGCAAGUAAAGUGACAUAUAAAUCACUUAGAAUUUGGUCAGAAAUCAUAAAGUAUUUAAUAGGCAUUACUAGAAACCAAAUGUAGAUCAAAUACACCCAGAAUUACAAAAAACCUUGACCUACAUAAAGGUGACUUUCUCUUGCUUAUGAAAUGAAAUACGGUUUAGUAUCCUAUUUUUCUGUGUUCUUAGAGUGAUUCUGCCCUACACCCUACUCUUAUAUCAAAUAUUUCAACUGUCAAGGGUUCUUUAACGGGAACCCGGGGGGGGGGGAAUGAUUAACACGCACACAUUUGAUCAGGAAGUCUGUCAUUGAGUCAAAUAAUUCAAUUGUCAAGGGUUCUUCUAAGUGAACGCAGUGGGGAUGGUUUCGAUUCCGGGAAUGGGGGAGGGGGUGGUGGAUGGCCGAAUGGUAAGCACGUGCGUGCGGUAUCAUACGGCCUGUCAUUGAGUCAACUGGCGUGGUUUCGAAUCCCCGGUUGUACGUGACAAGGAGUAGGGUCGCCUGUCCAAUCUUGUGGGUUUUCUCCGAGACCUCCGGUUUCCUCCCACUGCUAAAGACCCCUAUGCGCAACGAAUUAUUGAAAUAAAAUUAAACCAUAUGUUAAUCCCGAAAUGACCUAGUUUGUGUCAAGUGGACGUUAAACCCCAUUUCUCUCUCUCUCUCUUUCGAUUCCGGGCUUGUACCCAAUUAUUCUUGCCAUAUCCAACACUACUGACAAGUGGGAACUAUGCAGGAAAAUCCAGUUGAAAUUUCUCGGCCAACACCUUAUACUCACUGAACCACUGUGGCUUAUGACUUGUGAUUGUAUAUAAAUUUUUUGUACAUAUGAUAUUUUUUUAUUUCAAUCCUGUAAUCUUGAUGCUUUGCUUCUUUUAUUUACAAAAUAUUCAUUUUGUUUCGGGUUUUUUUAAUGAGGAAAAGGUUUUACAUCAUUUUAUUACUCCUGCAAAAUAGUGCAUUUUUCAUUUGUUAGUUUUCUGUGUAUAUUAGUUAUUACUAUAUGUCUCACAAAUCACUUGUAGUGUGAUGUUGUAGCACUUUUCAGUUUUUGAAAUUGUUUCAGUUUAGUGCAUAAUUAAUCUUAGUGCUUGGUUUGGAUGUUAUUAAAUUUAGAUAUUAUUUGAAUUAUAUAUUUUGGAGUAUGGGGUAGGGAUACUGUGUACAUAUCUUUAUAUUCUCAGUUCUUGUUUUGGGGUAAAGAACAAUUUAUAUAGCUAUUUUAUAUUUUGUGAUAGGUAAAAUGUGUGGGGUUAAGAACAAUUUAAAUAGCUAUGUUAUAUUUUGUGAUGGGUAAAGUGGGGUUUGUGUGUGUGUGUGUGGGGGGGGGG